UGUUGCCUUUGAUGCCUCUUGUUUUUUAGGAAAAUUAAUUUGAGAACGUAAAUAGAAAAUUAAUACUAUUAAUUUCAACUAUGUGAACAAUUCGACCCGUAUACCACAGUGGAUUUUAUAAAACUUUCGGUCAUAAAUGAAUUGGAGAAUUUCAUCGUAAAAGUGGUAUAAGAAAAUACCUCCAAAACUGAUUGUUAAAACUUCGAAAAUAUAAUCAUGCUAUGUAUAUGUAAUGACAAAAUCAAAGUAAUGAAAUUCUUGAUCAACAAAUAGUAAAAUGUAAAUAAUUCAUGCUUAAAAAUGUUUAGUCCUUUAUUAUAGUUCCCGCUGCAUAUGUUAUAUUGCAAAUUAAAGGAUAAAUUAAAAAAAUGUUAAAUUUUAGUAGAAAAAGUGGGCCUGUUUUGGUAAAAUGUAACAAUUUCCUAUGGGCAAACCUAAAACUUUAGCGAAGGGUAAAAACUAGCGGGCCCAUUGUUAGCAAUACACCCUAUCUCUGGAAACUAUCAUGGUUGAAAGCAUUCAUAACUUUUGCUUAUUGAAAUGUGGCCAGUUCGCAAUUGCCUGUCGCUUUUCAAAAUCAACUAAACAUUUUUUCAAUGUUUCUAAAUGAUUAUUUAAAAAGUGCUCUGUUAGCGAAUGAAAACGUUAAUCAUACGAUAAUAUUCUUAUUAAGCUGUCACUUAAAAUUUGGAUUUCGAAUAUUAUGAACGCUCUUAAUUCCUGAUGAAUUUGUUACGAGCUGAGUGCCCUGCCUUCUUAACAUAUCUUUCACUGUUACCUAAUUAAUUGAAACCGAUAGCAAGAGUCGGUUUACCAUUUCGUUGUCACUUAUUUAAUCUUUAACAAUACUCGUGGGAAGGGGGGGGGGGCCCUUUAUAUAUUUUUGGAAAUAUUAAUUUAAGAGUAAGGCCGCCGAUCUUUUAUAUAUUCCAAAGGUGGACAGAGAGUGCGAAAAGUGACAGUGAACUAGGAUAUUGUAAAUAGUUUAAGUAAUACGAGACUGCAGUUCCUGUGGUGUUGUAGUUUCUGUUCAUGGGUGGCGGUAGUUACUAUCAGGUGAGCCGCGUUUUUAUUUGCCUCACUGUAUUAUAAAAAAAGGUUUAAAAAUACUAAGGCGAAAAAGAUAUUAUAUCACAUUUUUUUAGGCAACUAGAGUAGCAAUCAAGCAUAAUGUACUGCUGACCUGAUGGUAAAUGAACAGGUCUUAUUUCACACUCUCUAACAAUCUAAUAACUGAUUUCUCUCGGGACGGCUUUUUAGUAAUGGGGACUAUCGGCUCUAUUGCUAGAAAUAAAACGCUCCCGUAAUGCACCUGGUAUUGCAGUCGUUCAUAGGCUACGGUAAUCGUUUACUAUCAGGUACGCCGUAUGCUUGUUUGCCACCUCAGUGAUAUAAAAAAAGAACCAGAGAGAUAAAAAUUUGAAUACAACUAGAUGGAGACUUUGUACAAAAGUCGAUUGAGUACCUCUCAUCUCUCACUGAUACGUUAGUGUAGGUGGAGUUACCAUUCAAUUGUCACCGAUUGAAAAAAAUAGUCCCCAUACGACUAUUGAUAUACUGGUUAUCUGUCCGAGUAGGGUAUUAUUAAGAGUUCAUUAUCCUUGCUUGGACGAAAAAAGUGCAUAUAAAAAUAUAUCAAGGCAGUUUAUUAAUUAUCCCAAGUAUAGUAGAAUAUAAAAUUAAUUCAUUGGUUAGUGGUUUUAAUCCGAAGUCUCUCGUGGAAUUACUGUCGUUUUUUACAUAACCGUGUUCUGCAUUGCUAAGGAUGACACUUAGACUGUUAUUCUAUGUAAAAUAAAAUCUUUUAGAUUCAUAUAUUUAAUAGACAUGAAGAAAACCUUUAUUUGUUAUAAAUCGAUUGCUUGGGUACCUCUGUCCCAUUCGUGUUUUUUUUUUAUGGGUGAAAAUGGUAUUAUAACCCCGCCUCCGCUAACGGGAUACGCUGGCGGAGCACCAGUGAAGGGUGAUAGAUAAGAAUGAAAACGGGCCAGUUAGCCCAUCAUGAUGAAUUCAUCAGGAUUAGUUUCCAGGGAGAACCGGGAGGAGGUCGACCUGGUUGGGUAUAUUGCUAGCAAUGUGAUUCUCAGUCUCCAUUACUAACAAUCCCUUUCCCCCUCCCAUUCGUGUUUCAACCAUAAAGCAGUUGUAUUUGCAUGGCUGUGUUUUGGUUUGAAAGGUGGGAUAUGGCGUGAAUUUACAGGGUACAGAGGAAUAACACCUGAGUCCUCAGGAAUGGCAACGCAUGGGAGAUAUCAUGGGCGAAACAGUAACUCUGUUAUGUCCAUGGUAUUGCUCAUGUCUAUAGGCGACGGUUACCACUUUCCAUCAGAUGGGCCGUCAGCAUGUUUGCCAUUCUAAGUAGUUAAAAAAAAACUAUUAUUUUUAUAGAUUUGAUGAAACCUGAUUGAUUUAUUUAUUUAGAAGAUAUUCAAUCAGAUACGCAAAAACAUAAAAAUAGGACAAUGCUUUGCCAACCCUAAAUAGUUCUAAAUAUUUCGCCUGGCUCGAGGAGCAGGCGGAGGGCUGUGGAAUUUGCUUUCAGUAACAGUUUUGUUUUGCUCCCCAGUUUGAUUCAAUAGUUUUCCGCUGUUUCAUCUGAGUUCAACGUUCUCGCAACCUAACUUCAACAAAACUGCUCAGUGCAUUAUGAGGGAAUAAUAAAUAUGAUAACUACCUUAAUAUUUUUAAAUGUUUUAAAUAGGCGGGUUUGCUACCACAGCAUUUGGUGAUGUUUUAAGAGGGAUGCUGCUGCCCAUCCUGCCCAUUCUAUGCCAAGACCAAAUGAUAACGGCAUGGAAGAGUGGGAUAUGUCAAUGAAACCUUUACAGCCUUACAUACCUUAGUACGAAAUAACCAGCCAAAAUACGGGCAGAUGUCGCUCAACUGUCACGUGACCGCUGACUGGCUGGUUUGUAGCAUUCAUAAUAUGAAUUAGCAAGGCAGUUCAAUUUACGCCGUAAUCUGCCUGGAAAUAAGAGUUCAUAAUACGGCCCCAGGAAUGGCUACGCAUGAAGUGUAUCACGGGUGACACAGUAUACUCCGUUAUGUUCAUGGCACUAUUUAUGUUUUUUGUUGAAGAUCAAUCCAUCAGGCGGCCUGUAAGCUUGUUUGUCAUUCUAAGUUGCAUAACAAAAGAUUAUUCAAUAUUAGUCAGUUUUGAUGAAAGUUAAUAAUAAUGUUUUAUUUUUGACCUAUCCACAAUGGGAGACAAGUAUCUAAAUAUUUAUAGGUAUCUGAGUUGCUGAACAUAUUUUGAAUAUUUUUUUAUAACUGAAACCUAACGCAUAUUUUACAUAAUAUCUUAGUCCUUUAGGUAAUCGUAGGUUACAAUAGAUGCCGAAGUGUAUUCUAGUUGUCUAUGAUUACAGAUAAUCUAUAGUGUUUUCAACUUUUUUUGGCGACGAUUUAUAAAUAAAUGAGAUCAAAUUAAUCUGUUUGUCAUGUCAUGUUGUAUAAAAAUGAUUCAUGUUGACAUCGCUGAUUCUAAAAAGGUGCCAUUCUUAGUAAUUUUAGAGUUGCGACCUUAAAAUCUAAAAAAUGACUUAUUGUCGCAACGUAGCUAUAUUACGUGAGUAGGUACUUACUGUUCAACGUCUUGUAAAUUGGCAAUAAUGCUUAUUACCUAGUUAGAUAGGUGAGUACCUAGUGACAUACGCAGAACAUUGUAUUCUCAGCCGUAGAUAUGUCAAACAUCGCCAAAACUUUUCAAACAAUAGUUACAUAUGAAAAUUAUCAUAUACAUUCAUCAAACUACAGUCUAAACUAGUUGAAAGAUGUUCCCUUUGAUUUCUGUACCUGUUUCUAUGUCUACUUUUAUUUUAGUUUUUGGUUACUUUGGUAAUAUGCCCAAUCUUAUCUUACUAAUAUAAUUGUCAGUAGACGAUGUCUGCACAUAGGAAGUGUAAAAACAAUAAUUUAUAAAAAUUUUGUCUGAUCCGGCUUCAUGUGAAAACUACUACAUCAAAUUAGAUACAAACUGCCUCUUAAUUGUGUUCUUGAAGGUCUAACUUAUAUCUGGUAGUCUGGUAGAUAUGUUCCAAUUUCAUACGCCGUUUAGAAGUGGCCUUUGAUAAUUUAUGUAACUUUUUUGUUGUUGGCAGUAAAUGUUUUAUUUCUUUCUUCUUUUCUUUAAUAAAAUAGGCCACUUCAAAAUUUCAGAAUUAGGGUUAGCCUAUUUUUGACAUCUACGCCUACAAAGAAGCGAGCAAAUGUCUUGUUUUUUAGUCUUAAAGUCGAUCCUACUAAAAUUAUGAAUAUGAAAGGUAUAUUAAAUUUAUAUAAUAUUAAAUGUUUUGAUGUAUUCCGUAUGAAUUCUGUACAAUAAAUAUUUUACAAUACAAUACAAUGAAAAUUAGUAAAGAUAUUUGUUAUUCAAUCACACAUGACUGAAUGGGUUGCUAUAAAAUUUGACACACAGACAGACCCUCAGAUAUCUGUUCUUUGUAUAUAUAGGCUACUUUUUAUCCAGCAUUACACUUCAGCUAUCUACUUAUUGCUAUUAGUUUCGGAUCGAAUUCCAGAUAAUAUUAUAUUCUGUAUCAAUAAUUCUAUUUAGGCUUAUAAGCCAAAAAUAGGAAAAUGAAAAAUUUAAAUGGAUUACCAUUUACUCUCUACCCAUAUAAUUGUAUUUGUACAGUACCAUUUUUAGGAAUAUACGAUACAGCCUUUCCUAUUUUUUUUUUUGGAAUUACAAGGUAAGUAAGUAACGAUGAUAUUGUUAGUGAAUUAUACCUUUUAGGUACACAUUAAUAUAGUUAUUGCGUGUCAAAUUUUGGCUCUACAAUAGGCUUCACAGGGCCUAACUCUUUUAAUAUUCGAUUCGGAUUUCAUACAUAAAAUUUAUAUCGAAAAAAGUAUAAAUGCUAUGUUAUUCUAUAUAUUUAUUAAGAACUCUUGCUGUAUUAUAUGAAUAGAAGUAUAUUUAAAUUUAAAUCAUUUCAAUUCAAAUAGACUUGUUUACUUGUAGCAUUCUUAAACCGUCAUUAGUUUUAUUUAUAGGAAAUAUAGCGGUAGCAAACUGCCUGGUUUGUUACAGAUAAAAAACUUUUGCAAUGUCAAGACAAGUAUUAUAAUAGUGCAGCACUUAAUUUUCAUACAAAUUAUGAUACUUACGCCAUCUAUCUCUAUGUAUGGGUAUGGAACUAAGAGUAAUUAAUCGAAUGAAUGAAUAGGUGGUAGCUAGUAUGGCAGGACGCGUAGACACGAAUUGCUGUCAUGGCGAACAUAACGAGCUACUUUCAUUACGAUAAUAUCAGCAAUAGCAUGAAAUGAAUGCUUUCAUACAAAUGAUAGGGACAAUUUACUUGUCUGUCAGUAAUUAAAAAAACAUAACGAAAACGGCAUUUGUUAUGAGGAAUGAGUAGGCGUAGGUAUCUAGGUAAUUGUUUUAAAUUCUUAUCUGAUUGUCCAGUGCUAGUAAUGUAGUAUGCCAUUUAUGUCAUAUCAUACAAAAUAAGUGAUUAAUUCUUAAUGAAUUCGUCACGAUGGGCCAACUGGACUGAUUUUAUCUUCGCUUAUUAUCCCUCACUGUUAAAAAAAAUUAAAAAUGUAUUUAUUGGAACCAUAAAAAAUUACAAAAGUAGGGUAGUUUACGAUAACAGCCACAUUAGUUAAAAAUAACUGUGUCGUGGCUGUCAACGCCCACCUCCUCAAGGCAGAGGCGCUAGUGUUCCAGUAGAAUAAAUAAAACUGUUAAUUAAACAAAGAAAAUGCAUGUACAUGUAGCACAUAUAUAUGUACCCAACAUACAAAUAAAUCCCUUUCCUUUCGAUCCCUCAUUGAUACCCUACUAGCGUACAUUAAUUUCGCAAGCGGGGUAAUCAUUCCAUUUUCAUCCCCUUAAAAUUAUUUUUAAGGAAAUUAAUGUUUGUAUUGUUCGAGGAUUGAACCCACAAUGAUCGUACGUUAAAGAAGUUAUGCCGUCAAAGUCGUCAAAAUUUCAUAGUAAGCACAGAUAAUUAGUUACUGACCAUGUAAAAAUCCCUACGUAAUCAUGAAUAAGAUGAAGAGAACGGACGUUUCCUGAAAAUGUUGUGUGCAAUUAUAAUUAUCAAUACAACGGAGAUUAAUUUAUCUUCCUUGUUUAGGUAUUUAGAAGAUUAUUUUAUCUUUUAAAUAUAUAGACAACUUUAUAUAUUUAAUCGUAAAUAUAAUUGUUAUUUUACGCCUCGCUUCCUAAAUUCGACGACAGUUCCUUCCUAUAAAAAUUACGUUUUUAUCAUUAUUGAGCUUUCAUUCCGCUCGCCGAAUAAAUCAAUUCAAUUUCAUAACUCAUAAAUUUUUUCAUAUAUAGGUAAAUUAUAGACUUGUUGGAGAUGUUGAAAUGUUAAUUUAAAACCAAUCUGAUUAUUCUGAUUAGGGAUAUUAAUGUGACUAUGUGUUAUGAAUGCGUGAAAGAAAGUCGUUAUUUUUUAAGUCGGGCUAAUUACGUACCAGAUAAAUUCCGUUAAAUUAUGCUGUAACUAAAAGACUGCAUUGCUUGUUCUUCAACCGACUUUAAAAAUAAGGCGGUUCCCAAUUUGGUUGUAUUUUUUCUGUUUGUUACCUCAAUUCCGCCAGUUAACCGAUUUGGAAAGUUAUUUUUUUUCUGAGAGAGCAGAUUAGUCCCAUAAAAAAAAUAUUAAAAGCAGUUAAGUAGUUUAGUUUUUAAGUCAAAAUAACUGGUUUUGCCAUAAUUGAAGUGGGUUUUAUUGUGAAACACAAUUUUAAGUUAUUGGCAUAAGCGCAUUUAAUUAGUGCCCACCCUGUUGUGGGUCCUGAUCUUGAAACCAGAAACGAAAUUUUCUGUUGUGGGGAAAGAUAUGCCAAGGAGUACAAAUGCGCUUUAAACGGAUCAGGACUCCCAUGAAAAUAAUUUUCAAUACACUAGCUUCUCUUGUUGAAAAAAAAAAACGCAAAAAUUAGGAUUAUUUUAGUAAUUAAUUUGUCCCAUAUUAAUUUAGUCACUAUUGAGAGUUAACUAAAAGAUACCCAGUACCUACACAGACAAUAUGAUUCUAGUGUUAUGUUGAGUUUAGGUUUCCUAAAGGAUUCAAGUACUUAGCUCUACAAUCUGCAAGUAAACCUGGUAGUGUUAUUAUCAGUGCAUUACAAAGACACCUUUAUAGCUGUAGCAUCUCACGCUUAGAUCUAACGAUAUUAGAUUGAACAAUAUUUUUUUGUUAUAAAAACCAUUUAUUAUAUUUUGAUAAUGAAAAUGACCCUUUAAUAAAGUUUAUACUUAUUUUUA